UACGAAGGGGGCUAGCGUUGCUCGGAAUCACUGGGCGUAAAGCGCACGUAGGCGGCUUGCUAAGUCAGGGGUGAAAUCCUGGAGCUCAACUCCAGAACUGCCUUCGAUACUGGGAAGCUCGAGUCCGGGAGAGGUGAGUGGAACUGCGAGUGUAGAGGUGAAAUUCGUAGAUAUUCGCAAGAACACCAGUGGCGAAGGCGGCUCACUGGCCCGGUACUGACGCUGAGGUGCGAAAGCGUGGGGAGCAAACAGG
rnacentral:rRNA from 1 species